rnacentral:lncRNA from 10 species
GCUGAGCUUCACUCAGCCCACGGUCCACUUCUUUACAUCAACACAUGUUACUAUAACAUUCUAGUCCACAAGAGAGUGGGCGUUCUUUUAGAGUUCAUGUAUUUGAGGCAGCAGAUGAGUAACCAACUAAAGCAAAGGCUGUACUUGAUAGCCAAGAACAAAACUGGCAUUUUCCCCCUGUUAAUCAAUGUCAACCCUACAAUCUUUCAGCACUGAGAACUAACAUACCUUCAUUUGUGUAAGCAGCACAUACAGAAAUAACCAAAGCAGAACUGAAGCAUGGGUAUUGCCAAGAAUUGGGGAAAAAGUUAGAAAGCAAAGAUGGGACGUGAGUCUUUGUUUUGCCUACCAAAAGAAAGGAGUCCUACUUCUUGGGUGGCAGUUGCUGUAGCAACCAAACCACUGCUAAAGGAGAUUCAGAGCAUUAAGACGGAGGUUGUGGAGAAGGGCAGAAGCCUGGGGGACUGAGCUCUGUAGCGGGACACUAGGAGCAGUGGUGGUCCCCCAACCCCCACCUGAUGAUGUUGAACAUCUGCUCAAAUUAGAGCUUGCGUCUUGACUAACGUCUGGCAAGAACCAUAAACUCCCAAGCCAAGUAUCAGAAAAGAGCUAAGUGGGGUGUGAGCAAGCCGUCUCACCGCAGAGACUUUAAAUGCUUCACUGAAAGGAAAUGCAGAGGCAACAGGGAAGCUGUGCCGUCUCGAAAGAAAUUUAGAUUUGUGCACAACUUGAAAAGGACAAAAUGAAAGUGUCCAGGGAUCAGUGUAACAGUGGUACAUCCAUGGUACCGUAUAUAGGGUAGCACACCUGGAUCCUGUUUUAUAGUAGGGGCUUAAAGUGAGAAUAUGUUUAAAAAACAAGAACCAAAACUGGCCUUGACUUUUGGCCCAGCACUCACAGGAAACAGCAAAGAAAAAGAAGAAAACUUUGCAAAUGCAAUUAAUUAACAAAGUCAUAUGUUUUAUUUCAAGAGUGAUCUUAGUAUUCCUAAGUUAAAUACAGCAUUAGAAGACCAGACCUAAGACCUUACCCAAACACACUAAAAUAAAACAUAAUAAACUGUGAGAGAAGUAUCUGCCCACUCUAUCCGCGAGCUUGGAGCAAAUGAGUUAGAAAAGUCAAAGCUGGAAGGUGGAGGAGAGAUCAAUGAUUUUAGCAACACUCACCCACUGUUGCUGACAAGUCAAAAGCUCAUAAGCCACAGAAGAUGGUGUUGCUUUGUUUUCAUGGUGGAAAACACAGCUCGAAGCUUGAAUUUGGUAAUGCAUACUACAGAAAAGCAGUGAAUGUAUGGACUGCAGAAGCUACAUAGCUCCUCAUUCUUCACUCUAUUUUCAUAAGCAAGAUGCAAAUGAUAAAGCAGCAAGCUGACAUUCAAGAAAGCAUGUUUCAGGGCAUAUCUUCCUGAGGUUGGUAUGCUUUCAUGCUGGCAGCUCAUAAUUUCUAGAAACACAGCAAAUCACCAUGAUUUGUGAUCAUUAAGCAACAGUUAGAUCGUGUUCCAAUUCCUCCAUUUGUGGGGCAGAAAAAUCGUGUCAUAUUUCAGAAAAAAAGAUGCCCAAAUAAAAGGUCAAAAUAAAAUUGGGUGCUUAAAAAUAUGAGUUAUUUAGCUGUCUCUGUAUUUAGCUGUCUCUGAAGUACAAAUAACCAGAAAAAUCAGGCCUUUUACUUGUGUAUUUUAUUAUAUUAUGAAUUCUUGUGUAGGCUUUGUAACGUUUAUAACAUAUUGGUACAGUGGUAUAGGCAUAAAAUCUACCUAUAAAUAAAGGUAUGCAUAUUAGCGGAGUUUGCUCUCACAAAGUUCCUUGAGCAAAAACUUAAAGCCCUAAUCUAGAAAACUAAGUUGUCCAGAUACCUUCUUCUCCCAC